AUGAGGACUUCUGGCCACCAUGUAAUCUCCACCAUGAUAGUCUAUAUACUCAAACUGUGUGCCAAAAUAAGCCCUUCCUCCUCCUUGCUGCUUCUGUCAAGUAUUUUUCAGAGAAACGAGAAAACUAAUAUGUCUGCUAUGAGUCAGGUAUUCUUCAAGGUCACUUUCACCUUGAACUCCUUCAUCUCAAGAGCAGACUUCCAGAUUGCCCCAAAGAGAAAGAGGGCUGGAGGCUGGUCAUCAACAACUAAACAACUUCCACUUCCAGACUGCUAGCCAGAACUGGUCACACAGGUGCAGUCCAACUGCAACAGAGACUGGAGCAGAUGAGUGAGACCAAGCAAGGUUCAGAAGCCCCUAGAGCCAUCACCAUCACCAUCACCAUCAUCAAGGCUGCACAUUGGGUGAGCAUCACUAUUGGUGAUUAAAACCAUUUCACAGACCUUAGGGAUAACCCUCACCACCCACCAGGCACAGACUUGGCUCCAGAUACUCUCUCUCCCAUCCCAGAGAAACACCUCUUGCAAAGUAACCCUUUGACUGAUUCUACCUACUCCCGUGACCCCCUAGGGGGCCACAAACUCCUAUAAAAACAACCAGGUUCCUU
rnacentral:lncRNA from 1 species